UACACAACAAGAAUCAGAGUGGCGCAGCGGAAGCGUGGUGGGCCCAUAACCCAGAGGUCCGACCGUCCGAGGAUCGAAAACUGGCUCUGACAUCUCGAGCCUGUUGCUCAACCUGCAUUUAAGCUUUUUGCAUCUCCUCCGCUGUUUUUCUUUGGAUUGGUGGAUUGUAGUGGUCAAUUUUGGGAUGUUUUGUUAAGCAAAUAGUCUUUCUAUUAGGUUUCCUUAACAUUGGUGCAUUCUCUCAUCUGGGUUUUGUUUGGAUUUGGAGCUCAUUGUCACGACCUGAUCAAAUGGCCCUCCCCAUGGGGUUAGAUAGAGGACAGGAAGCUUCGCACGAGCUUAGUAAAAGACUAAGUCCGUGACAUCAUGUUGAUUUACUUGGACUCACGACUGCUGGAUUUUAGAAUAUCAACUAUCAAGGUGAAGUGUGACUGGAGUUCAGUGUUCUUCCUGCAUAGACUAUAGUUGGGAGGUCUGGAAGAGGACCAAUCAUGGUCCUAUAAUUUGGACUGUGAAAUGCGGCAAUGGAGAGGCGUUCUUUUUCUGGGUUCACCACCGCUCUGUGCUCUAUACUCUUGUAUUCCCCAUUGCUCAUAAUCUGCUUACAAAUGGAAGAAAGAAGUCAUUUAUAUGGCAAUUAUCAAAUGGUGGAUGCAAAGCAACGAAGAGCUGAUCCACCUUAGUAUGCAAGUUCAUCCAUUAAGGUCUGGCAGAGGACCAAUCAUGGUCCUAUGAUCUGGACUGUGAAAUGCGGCAAUGGAGAGGCGUUCUUUUUCUGGAUUCACCACCGCUCUGUGCUCUAUGCUCUUGUAUUCCCCAUUGCUCAUGAUCUGCUUAGAAAUGGAAGAAAGAAGUCUUUUAUGUGGCAAUUCUAAAAUGGUGGCUGCAAAGCAACAAAGGACUGAUCCACCUUGACCUUGCACUUCAUUGACUUGAACUAGUAGGGUGAGUCCUGUGGCAUCAGAGUGGGGAGUGAGGCCCAUAACCUUGUCUGCAUGCACACAAGGUGGAUAAUAAUUCAUCCUAACUCCCUGUGUGCCAUCCUCAAACAUGCUUGCAAGCUUGUCGGGAUUUACCCCCAGGUUCUUGGCCAUUGACCUCAGAAGGUUGAUUGAAACUCUAUGCAGCUCUGAGGAGUAAUUGUCCAAUGUUUCCCUGACAUACAAGGUGGAAAUUCCAGCAACCGACCAAUAAGUUAGUAUAUUUCCCAUCAUAGAUCAAAACUUGAAGGAUCAUGAGGAAUAACUAGUUUGACGCUUGGAACCUCAAUGCCCUAACAUUAUGUACAAAAAAAUAAACUAAUAUAUUCAAUUUAAUCUACUGUACAAAAGAUAUAAACGUUUUCUGUUUUAAUAUUAAGAAAGUGAUUUAAAAAGGCAAG